rnacentral:rRNA from 1 species
UACGGAGGGGGCGAGCGUUAUUCGGAAUUAUUGGGCGUAAAGGGCGCGUAGGCGGCUUGAUGUGUCAAAGGUGAAAUCCCUCGGCUCAACUGAGGAACUGCCUUUGAAACUGUCUGGCUUGAGGCCGGGAGAGGGUAGCGGAAUUCCCAGUGUAGCGGUGAAAUGCGUAGAUACUGGGAGGAACACCGGUGGCGAAGGCGGCAUCCUGGACCGGUAUUGACGCUGAGGCGCGAAAGCUAGGGGAGCAAACGGG